rnacentral:rRNA from 1 species
AGGACGAACGCUGGCGGCGUGCCUAACACAUGCAAGUCGAACGAAGCUCCGGAACGGAACCUCGGGUGAAGUGAAGGAAGACUAGUGGCGGACGGGUGAGUAACGCGUGAGCAACCUGCCUUUCAGAGGGGGAUAACAGUUGGAAACGACUGCUAAUACCGCAUAACGUAGCGGAGUCGCAUGGCUCUGUUACCAAAGCUGAGGCGCUGAGAGAUGGGCUCGCGUCCGAUUAGAUAGUUGGUGGGGUAACGGCCUACCAAGUCGACGAUCGGUAGCCGGACUGAGAGGUUGAACGGCCACAUUGGGACUGAGACACGGCCCAGACUCCUACGGGAGGCAGCAGUGGGGGAUAUUGCACAAUGGGCGAAAGCCCUGAUGCAGCAACGCCGCGUGAGGGAAGACGGUUUUCGGAUUGUAAACCUCUGUCUUUGGUGAAGAAGGAAGUGACGGUAACCAAGGAGGAAGCCACGGCUAACUACGUGCCAGCCGCGGC